rnacentral:rRNA from 1 species
CCUUUGUACACACCGCCCGUCGCUACUACCGAUUGAAUGGCUUAGUGAGGUCUCCGGAUUGGCUUCGAGCAGCCGGCAACGGUCGCUCUUAGCUGAGAAGCUGAUCAAACUUGGUCAUUUAGAGG